UGAAAAAGAACCUGAAACCGUGUACGUACAAGCAGUGGGAGCACCCUUUGGGUGUGACUGCGUACCUUUUGUAUAAUGGGUCAGCGACUUAUAUUCUGUAGCAAGGUUAACCGUAUAGGGGAGCCGCAGGGAAACCGAGUCUUAACCGGGCGUUAAGUUGCAGGGUAUAGACCCGAAACCCGGUGAUCUAGCCAUGGGCAGGUUGAAGGUUGGGUAACACUAACUGGAGGACCGAACCGAC
rnacentral:rRNA from 1 species